UUAUUGGAGAGUUUGAUCCUGGCUCAGGACGAACGCUGGCGGCGUGCCUAAUACAUGCAAGUCGAGCGAGUCUCUUCGGAGGCUAGCGGCGGACGGGUGAGUAACACGUAGGCAACCUGCCUCUCAGACUGGGAUAACAUAGGGAAACUUAUGCUAAUAC
rnacentral:rRNA from 1 species